rnacentral:lncRNA from 1 species
CCUUUGGAAGAUUAAAUUGACUUUAUAAAUCCACAUCUUGAAGAAAUCUUCAAAUAGGAUUGGUUACCAUAGCAUCUGGUGAGAGCUUAUGGGAUGUAUUAAGAUGGAACCUAUCCAAAAGUUGUGGAAUUUAUUGGUCAAAAUCAGAUCAAGGAAAUUGUGCCUAAACUUCUAUUGCUUCACUUCUUCACAACGAUUAAUAGUUCAGUGAAUCGAAUGUUACCUAGAAUUUACAGCCGAGGCUGGAACAUCAACCCGACGCCAUGGGACUUUCGAAGAGCCAGCUGAACCUCAUUUUUCUUUUUCUUUUUCU